rnacentral:rRNA from 1 species
GAGUGGCGAACUGGUGAGUAACACGUGGGAAACCUGCCCAGAAGCGGGGGAUAACACCUGGAAACAGAUGCUAAUACCGCAUAACAACUUGGACCGCAUGGUCCGAGCUUGAAAGAUGGCUUCGGCUAUCACUUUUGGAUGGUCCCGCGGCGUAUUAGCUAGAUGGUGGGGUAACGGCUCACCAUGGCAAUGAUACGUAGCCGACCUGAGAGGGUAAUCGGCCACAUUGGGACUGAGACACGGCCCAAACUCCUACGGGAGGCAGCAGUAGGGAAUCUUCCACAAUGGACGAAAGUCUGAUGGAGCAACGCCGCGUGAGUGAAGAAGGGUUUCGGCUCGUAAAACUCUGUUGUUAAAGAAGAACAUAUCUGAGAGUAACUGUUCAGGUAUUGACGGUAUUUAACCAGAAAGCCACGGCUAACUACGUGCCAGCAGCCGCGGUAAUACGUAGGUGGCAAGCGUUGUCCGGAUUUAUUGGGCGUAAAGCGAGCGCAGGCGGUUUUUUAAGUCUGAUGUGAAAGCCUUCGGCUCAACCGAAGAAGUGCAUCGGAAACUGGGAAACUUGAGUGCAGAAGAGGACAGUGGAACUCCAUGUGUAGCGGUGAAAUGCGUAGAUAUAUGGAAGAACACCAGUGGCGAAGGCGGCUGUCUGGUCUGUAACUGACGCUGAGGCUCGAAAGUAUGGGUAGCAAACAGGAUUAGAUACCCUGGUAGUCCAUACCGUAAACGAUGAAUGCUAAGUGUUGGAGGGUUUCCGCCCUUCAGUGCUGCAGCUAACGCAUUAAGCAUUCCGCCUGGGGAGUACGGCCGCAAGGCUGAAACUCAAAGGAAUUGACGGGGGCCCGCACAAGCGGUGGAGCAUGUGGUUUAAUUCGAAGCUACGCGAAGAACCUUACCAGGUCUUGACAUACUAUGCAAAUCUAAGAGAUUAGACGUUCCCUUCGGGGACAUGGAUACAGGUGGUGCAUGGUUGUCGUCAGCUCGUGUCGUGAGAUGUUGGGUUAAGUCCCGCAACGAGCGCAACCCUUAUUAUCAGUUGCCAGCAUUAAGUUGGGCACUCUGGUGAGACUGCCGGUGACAAACCGGAGGAAGGUGGGGAUGACGUCAAAUCAUCAUGCCCCUUAUGACCUGGGCUACACACGUGCUACAAUGGAUGGUACAACGAGUUGCGAACUCGCGAGAGUAAGCUAAUCUCUUAAAGCCAUUCUCAGUUCGGAUUGUAGGCUGCAACUCGCCUACAUGAAGUCGGAAUCGCUAGUAAUCGCGGAUCAGCAUGCCGCGGUGAAUACGUUCCCGGGCCUUGUACACACCGCCCGUCACACCAUGAGAGUUUGUAACACCCAAAGUCGGUGGG